rnacentral:rRNA from 1 species
AUUGAACGCUGGCGGCAGGCCUAACACAUGCCAGUCGAGCGGAUGAAGGGAGCUUGCUCCUGGAUUCAGCGGCGGACGGGUGAGUAAUGCCUAGGAAUCUGCCUGGUAGUGGGGGAUAACGUCCGGAAACGGGCGCUAAUACCGCAUACGUCCUGAGGGAGAAAGUGGGGGAGCUUCGGACCUCACGCUAUCAGAUGAGCCUAGGUCGGAUUAGCUAGUUGGUGGGGUAAAGGCCUACCAAGGCGACGAUCCGUAACUGGUCUGAGAGGAUGAUCAGUCACACUGGAACUGGGACACGGUCCAGACUCCUACGGGAGGCAGCAGUGGGGAAUAUUGGACAAUGGGCGAAAGCCUGAUCCAGCCAUGCCGCGUGUGUGAAGAAGGUCUUCGGAUUGUAAAGCACUUUAAGUUGGGAGGAAGGGCAGUAAGUUAAUACCUUGCUGUUUUGACGUUACCAACAGAAUAAGCACCGGCUAACUUCGUG